UAGGGAAUCUUCCACAAUGGACGCAAGUCUGAUGGAGCAACGCCGCGUGAGUGAAGAAGGUUUUCGGAUCGUAAAGCUCUGUUGUUGGUGAAGAAGGAUAGAGGUAGUAACUGGCCUUUAUUUGACGGUAAUCAACCAGAAAGUCACGGCUAACUACGUGCCAGCAGCCGCGGUAAUACGUAGGUGGCAAGCGUUGUCCGGAUUUAUUGGGCGUAAAGCGAGCGCAGGCGGAAGAAUAAGUCUGAUGUGAAAGCCCUCGGCUUAACCGAGGAAUUGCAUCGGAAACUGUUUUCUUGAGUGCAGAAGAGGAGAGUGGAACUCCAUGUGUAGCGGUGGAAUGCGUAGAUAUAUGGAAGAACACCAGUGGCGAAGGCGGCUCUCUGGUCUGCAACUGACGCUGAGGCUCGAAAGCAUGGGUAGCGAACAGGAUUAGAUACCCUGGUAGUCCAUGCCGUAAACGAUGAGUGCUAAGUGUUGGGGAGGUUUUCCGCCUCUCAGUGC
rnacentral:rRNA from 1 species